AUUGAACGCUGGCGGCAGGCCUAACACAUGCAAGUCGAGCGAGCGGCGGACGGGGGAGUAAUGUAUGGGGACUGCCCGAUAGAGGGGGAUAACUACUGGAAACGGUGGCUAAUACCGCAUACUGUCGCAUACCACAUAUGUGAUUAGCUAGUAGGUAAGGUAAUGGCUUACCUAGGCGACGAUCCCUAGCUGGUCUGAGAGGAUGAUCAGGCACACUGGGACUGAGACACGGCCCAGACUCCUACGGAGACAGCACGGGGGAAUAUUGCGCUAUCGGCGCAAGCCUGAUGCAGCAAAGUCGCGUGACUGAAGAAGACCCUAGAGUUGUAAAGUACUUUCAGUCGGGAGCCGUUACCUACAGAAAAAGCACAGGCUAACUCCGUUCCAGCCACCGCGGUAAUAC
rnacentral:rRNA from 1 species